UCUAUAGCAUAAAGACUAACCGGACACUAAAAACCACAGUUUAAAAUCCAAAGAUCUUGGCGGUGUCUCAUACAUUCAGGGGAACCUGUCCCUUAAUUCGAUAAUCCACGAAUGCUCAACCUCUUCUCGAUAUCAGCUUAUGUACGGCCGUUUAGCGUGCCUUAAAAAGAAGUACGCAAUAAUAAAUCUAUAGACCUCAGGUCAAAGUGUAGCCAAUGAAGAGGCGGUGAUGGGUUACAUUUUCAAAUAAAAUCCAAAGUUAAAUAAAAAUCUAAUCUAAAGUUGGACUUGAAAGUAAUUUAUACUACUUAAUAAACAUGAAUACUAACAUGGGACAUGCACACAUCGCCCGUCACUCUCGUUGAAAAAUG
rnacentral:rRNA from 1 species